rnacentral:lncRNA from 1 species
GUGCUACAAGCGGUAAGAGUAAGGCUAAUGGUAACGCCUCCAGGAGGCCCAAAGAGAAAGAUGAACAGUAGCAGCAAUCCUGAAACAAUGAGACCAAAAAAACAGCGGCGCAACUCUGCGCGCACGACACACGAACUGGCGAUCUGGCAAGAGUUAUUCAAGAUGUCCACGGAUCGGUGUAUACUUCUGCUGCGCUUGGUGUGGCUCUUACAGGUACUUGAAGAUCAGGCCACCGUGGGUAGCGAAGAAGGGGGCGAACACAAGGGACUCCACGGCCAUGAGCUUGAUGAGGAUGUUGAGGGAUGGGCCAGAGGUGUCCUUCAGGGGGUCACCGAUGGUGUCGCCGAUAACGGCAGCCUUGUGGCAGUCUGAUCCCUUGGGGCCCAGGGUCCUUGCGUGCUCGCUGGCACCAGCCUGAAACAAACAAGGUAAAGUUGAGGACAAAGUUAAUCACUGACCAUAGAUACUGACUCGUAUUAUCCAGGACUUUUUCAGAGCCCUUACCUCAAUGUACUUCUUGGCAUUGUCCCAUGCACCACCAGUGUUGGAAGCAGAGAUGGCAAUCUGCCAAGAUUUCAAACGUCAUAAACCAUUCAACCAGUUAACACACAAAAGUAAAUACACAGAGCAACAGGAAGUGAUACGCACCUGCACUCCAGAAACCAGGGCACCAGCAAGAACACCAGAGAGGGUCUCCACACCAAAGAGGGUUCCAACAAUGAGGGGAGUGAGCAUGACCAGAGCACCUGGGGGGAUCAUCUCCUUGAUGGAAGCAUCGGUAGAGAUCUUGACACAGGUAGCGUAGUCAGGCUUGCCAGUUCCCUCCAUCAGACCAGGAAUGGUGUUGAACUGCCUGCGGACCUCCUCAACCAUCUUCAGAGCAGCACUUCCAACACUCUUCAUGGUCAUGGCAGAGAACCAGUAUGGAAGCAUGGCUCCGACAAUCAAGCCAAUGAAGACCUUGGGGGACAGGACAUCGACAACCUUCACUCCAGCUCUGCUGACAAAGGCACCAAAAAGGGCCAGGGACACAAGAGCAGCUGAUCCAAUGGCAAAUCCCU